UCUGUUUUGCAUGCAGAAGAUGUGGGUUAGUGUCCUGCAAGUCUUA
rnacentral:tRNA from 1 species